rnacentral:rRNA from 1 species
GAUGAACGCUGGCGGCGUGCCUAAUACAUGCAAGUCGAGCGAACAGACGAGGAGCUUGCUCCUCUGACGUUAGCGGCGGACGGGUGAGUAACACGUGGAUAACCUACCUAUAAGACUGGGAUAACUUCGGGAAACCGGAGCUAAUACCGGAUAAUAUAUUGAACCGCAUGGUUCAAUAGUGAAAGACGGUUUUGCUGUCACUUAUAGAUGGAUCCGCGCCGCAUUAGCUAGUUGGUAAGGUAACGGCUUACCAAGGCAACGAUGCGUAGCCGACCUGAGAGGGUGAUCGGCCACAACGGAAACGAGACACGGUCCAGACUCCUACGGGAGGCAGCAGUAGGGAAUUCUCCGCAAAGGGCGAAAGCCUGGCGGAGCAACGCCGCGUGAGUGAUGAAGGUCUUCGGAUCGGAAAACCCUUUUAUUAGGGAAGAACAAAUGUGUAAGUAACUAUGCACGUCUUGACGGUACCUAAUCAGAAAGCCACGGCUAACUACGUG